UACGUAGGGACCAAGCGUUGUCCGGAAUCAUUGGGCGUAAAGAGCGUGUAGGCGGCUUGUUAAGUCUUGCGUGAAAUCUCGGGGCUCAACCCCGAGCGGUCGUGAGAAACUGGCAGGCUAGAGUGCGGGAGAGGAGAGUGGAAUUCCUGGUGUAGCGGUGAAAUGCGCAGAUAUCAGGAAGAACACCCGGUGGCGAAGGCGGCUCUCUGGAACGCAACUGACGCUGAGACGCGAAAGCGUGGGGAGCGAACAGG
rnacentral:rRNA from 1 species